UGGUGGAGUGAUUUGUCUGGUUAAUUCCGUUAACGAACGAGACCUCGACCUGCUAAAUAGUUCGUCAAAUCCUUCGGGAUUUGAAUUGUAGCUUCUUAGAGGGACUAUCGGUGAUUUAGCCGAUGGAAGUUCGAGGCAAUAACA
rnacentral:rRNA from 1 species